rnacentral:rRNA from 1 species
UAAAACGUAGGAGGCGAGCGUUAUCCGGAUUCACUGGGCGUAAAGCGCGUGCAGGUGGUUCGGUAAGUUGGGCGUGAAAUCUCCCGGCUCAACUGGGAGAGGUCGUCCAAUACUACCGAACUUGAGAGCAGAAGAGGAAGAUGGAAUUCCCGGUGUAGUGGUGAAAUGCGUAGAUAUCGGGAGGAACACCAGUGGCGAAGGCGAUCUUCUGGUCUGUUUCUGACACUCAGACGCGACAGCUAGGGUAGUAAACGGGAUUAGAGACCCCGGUAAUCCUAGCCGUAAACGAUGUGAACUUGGCGUUGGUGGGUUAAACUCCAUCAGUGCCGAAGCAAACGCGAUAAGUUCACCGCCUGGGGACUACGGCCGCAAGGUUA